AGUGAACGCUGGCGGCAGGCUUAACACAUGCAAGUCGAGCGGGGAAAGGUAGCUUGCUACCUGACCUAGCGGCGGACGGGUGAGUAAUGCUUAGGAAUCUGCCUAUUAGUGGGGGACAACAUCUCGAGAGGGAUGCUAAUACCGCAUACGUCCUACGGGAGAAAGCAGGGGACCUUCGGGCCUUGCGCUAAUAGAUGAGCCUAAGUCGGAUUAGCUAGUUGGUGGGGUAAAGGCCUACCAAGGCGACGAUCUGUAGCGGGUCUGAGAGGAUGAUCCGUCACACUGGGACUGAGACACGGCCCAGACUCCUACGGGAGGCAGCAGUGGGGAAUAUUGGACAAUGGGGGGAACCCUGAUCCAGCCAUGACGCGUGUGUGAAGAAGGCCUUUUGGUUGUAAAGCACUUUAAGCGAGGAGGAGGCUACCGAGAUUAAUACUCUUGGAUAGUGGACGUUACUCGCAGAAUAAGCACCGGCUAACUCUGUGCCAGCCGCCGCCGUAACAC
rnacentral:rRNA from 1 species